GUGCGAGACCGAUAGCGAACAAGUACCGUGAGGGAAAGAUGAAAAGAACUUUGAAAAGAGAGUUAAAGAGUACCUGAAACUGCUGAAAGGGAAGCGAAUCGUAUCCAGUGUCUAUAAUCUGCGGCAUAUUUCAUUGGCGGCGGUGCGCGUGCUUUUGCGUCGGAAGCGGCUUUUGUUGCUCUGUGCUUUUGCUGUGCGUGGUGUUGCUGGUGCCCUGUGUUGCGGUGGGACGUCAGAGUCAGUUUGUAUGCUGCGGGAAAUGGCUGCCGAGGAGGUAGGUCGAGAUUUCGGUCUUGGCUGUUAUAUCUUGGUGGUUUGUUGUCGUGGUUGAGACUGAGGUGCCUACAAUGUGCUUUUGAGUGUACCGGGUUCUCAUUUGGUGGACUGUUUGGAUAGCUUGCUAUGCUUGUGGCUUUUUCAUCGGGUGAUUGAGUCUGGUGGUAACUUGUUGCUGUUCGGGACUUUGAA
rnacentral:rRNA from 2 species